GGUCGGUUAGCUCAGUGGUAGAGCACUACCUUGACAUGGUAGGGGUCACAAGUUCGAACCUUGUACCGACCACCA
rnacentral:tRNA from 1 species